rnacentral:rRNA from 1 species
GACAGAGGAUGCAAGCGUUAUCCGGAAUGAUUGGGCGUAAGGCGUCUGUAGGUGGCUUUUUAAGUUCGCCGUCAAAUCCCAGGGCUCAACCCUGGACAGGUGGUGGAAACUACCAAGCUAGAGUACGGUAGGGGCAGAGGGAAUUUCCGGUGGAGCGAUGAAAUGCGUAGAGAUCGGAAGGAACACCCAAGGCGAAAGCACUCUGCUGGGCCGACACUGACACUGAGAGACGAAAGCUAGGGGAGCAAAUGGG